rnacentral:rRNA from 1 species
GGCUCAGGAUGAACGCUAGCUACAGGCUUAACACAUGCAAGUCGAGGGGCGGCAUGAAGUCAGCUUGCUGACUUUGAUGGCGACCGGCGCACGGGUGAGUAACGCGUAUCCAACCUUCCCCUUACUCAGGAAUAGCCCGUUGAAAGACGGAUUAAUGCCUGAUGUUCUCUUUUUCCGGCAUCGGUAAUAGAGCAAAGAUUCAUCGGUGGCGGAUGGGCAUGCGGCGCAUUAGCUAGUUGGAGGGGUAACGGCCCACCAAGGCGACGAUGCGUAGGGGUUCUGAGAGGAAGGUCCCCCACACUGGUACUGAGACACGGACCAGACUCCUACGGGAGGCAGCAGUGAGGAAUAUUGGUCAAUGGACGAGAGUCUGAACCAGCCAAGUAGCGUGCAGGAUGACGGCCCUCUGGGUUGUAAACUGCUUUUAGUUGGGAAUAAAAAGAGGGACGUGUCCCUAAUUGUAUGUACCAUCAGAAAAAGGACCGGCUAAUUCCGUG